UGCGAGCGUGACGGCGCGAGCAGGUGCGAAAGCAGGUCAUAGUGAUCCGGUGGUUCUGAAUGGAAGGGCCAUCGCUCAACGGAUAAAAGGUACUCCGGGGAUAACAGGCUGAUACCGCCCAAGAGUUCAUAUCGACGGCGGUGUUUGGCACCUCGAUGUCGGCUCAUCACAUCCUGGGGCUGAAGUAGGUCCCAAGGGUAUGGCUGUUCGCCAUUUAAAGUGGUACGCGAGCUGGGUUUAGAACGUCGUGAGACAGUUCGGUCCCUAUCUGCCGUGGGCGCUGGAGAACUGAGGGGGGCUGCUCCUAGUACGAGAGGACCGGAGUGGACGCAUCACUGGUGUUCGGGUUGUCAUGCCAAUGGCACUGCCCGGUAGCUAAAUGCGGAAGAGAUAAGUGCUGAAAGCAUCUAAGCACGAAACUUGCCCCGAGAUGAGUUCUCCCUGACUCCUUGAGAGUCCUGAAGGAACGUUGAAGACGACGACGUUGAUAGGCCGGGUGUGUAAGCGCAGCGAUGCGUUGAGCUAACCGGUACUAAUGAACCGUGAGG
rnacentral:rRNA from 1 species